CGCUGGCGGCACGCCUAACACAUGCAAGUCGAACGCAGUAGCAAUACUGAGUGGCAAACGGGUGAGUAUAAUGUGGGAAUCUGCCUUUUGGUUUGGAAUAACACGGGGAAACUUGUGCUAAUACCGAAUAAGCCCUUACGGGGAAAGUUUUAACGCCGAAAGAUGAGCCCGCACUUGAUUAGCUAGUUGGUAAGGUAAAAGCUUACCAAGGCAACGAUCAAUAGCUGUUCUUAGAGGAAGACCAGCCACAUUGGGACUGAGACACGGCCCAGACUCCUACGGGAGGCAGCAGUGGGGAAUCUUGCACAAUGGGGGAAACCCUGAUGCAGCGAUGCCGCGUGAGUGAAGAAGGCCCUUGGGUUGUAAAACUCUUUCGUCGGGGAAGAAAAUGACUGUACCCGAAUAAGAAGGUCCGGCUAACUUCGUGCCAGCAGCCGCGGUAAUACGAAGGGACCUAGCGUAGUUCGGAAUUACUGGGCUUAAAGAGCUCGUAGGUGGUUAAAAAAGUUGAUGGUGAAAUCCCAAGGCUCAACCUUGGAACUGCCAUCAAAACUUUUUAGCUAGAGUGUGAUAGAGGUAAGUGGAAUUUCUAGUGUAGAGGUGAAAUUCGUAGAUAUUAGAAAGAACACCAAAUGCGAAGGCAACUUACUGGGUCACUACUGACACUGAGGAGCGAAAGCAUGGGUAGCGAAGAGGAUUAGAUACCCUCGUAGUCCAUGCCGUAAACGAUGUGUGCUAGACGUUGGAAAUAUAUUUUUCAGUGUCGCAGCGAAAGCAUUAAGCACACCGCCUGGGGAGUACG
rnacentral:rRNA from 1 species